GCGUGGGUGAAGAAGGCCUUCGGGUUGUAAAGCCCUUUUAGCAGGAAAGAAAAGCUCAAGGUUAAUAUCCUUGAGUGCUGACGGUACCUGCAGAAAAAGCACCGGCUAAUUCCGUGCCAGCAGCCGCGGUAAUACGGAAGGUGCGAGCGUUAAUCGGAAUUACUGGGCGUAAAGCGCGCGUAGGCGGUUUGGUAAGUCAGAUGUGAAAGCCCUGGGCUUAACCUGGGAAUGGCGUUUGAUACUGCCUGACUAGAGUGUGGUAGAGGGAAGUGGAAUUCCGCGUGUAGCGGUGAAAUGCGU
rnacentral:rRNA from 1 species